rnacentral:rRNA from 1 species
UAGGGAAUCUUCGGCAAUGGACGAAAGUCUGACCGAGCAACGCCGCGUGAGUGAAGAAGGUUUUCGGAUCGUAAAACUCUGUUGUUAGAGAAGAACAAGGACGUUAGUAACUGAACGUCCCCUGACGGUAUCUAACCAGAAAGCCACGGCUAACUACGUGCCAGCAGCCGCGGUAAUACGUAGGUGGCAAGCGUUGUCCGGAGUUAUUGGGCGUAAAGCGAGCGCAGGCGGUUUCUUAAGUCUGAUGUGAAAGCCCCCGGCUCAACCGGGGAGGGUCAUUGGAAACUGGGAGACUGGAGUGCAGAAGAGGAGAGUGGAAUUCCAUGUGUAGCGGUGAAAUGCGUAGAUAUAUGGAGGAACACCAGUGGCGAAGGCGGCUCUGUGGUCUGUAACUGACGCUGAGGCUCGAAAGCGUGGGGAGCAAACAGG